AACUUUGGUCAGCAGAGAGGCUCGAAAAAGCUGCUCUCUGGCCCCGCCCACUGACAUUCAACUCAACCAAUGAGAUGAUUUCUGUCUCCAGAGCAGAAAGGUUUGAGGAACUAAAAGCACAGUCAGCUUGAUGUUGAGGAGAAGGGCUGUGCAGCAGAGAGGCGCUUUAGUUUUUCAUUCUCCUGCAGUGGAAGAACAUUGCUGCUCUGCUGUCUCUUUGACUUUAACAACUCCAAAGACAUGUUGCUUCACCUCUUUUUACUUUGCUCUCACUUUAUAGCCCUGAGUUCCAUGAACAGCAUAAAGCCAGAAAGGACUGAAGAACAUGUUGCAGAGGGAAGAAACAUCAACCUGGCCUGUAAAUAUGAGGGUGCUAUCAACAGUAUCCAGUGGUACCGACAAUACCAGAGAUCCAGACCAGAGUUCCUGCUCUACAUCACAGAGGGAGGAUCAAUCCAUCCAACUGGUUCUGGUUUCUCAGCUCACAUCAACAAAACAGAGAAACGUGUAGAUGUGGAGAUCAUCUCAGCUAAAGUGACUGACUCUGCUGUGUACUACUGUGCUCUGCAGCCCACAGUGACAGGAAACAGCAAAACUCUGCACAAAAACCUCUGCAGCAAACACAACACAAUACUCCACAACGUCCACUAGAGGGAGUCACACACUGCUCAAUUUCAACGGGAUGUGAUG